UUUAGGCUUUGCAAGUCUUGCAUUUCAAACAACGUAAACGUUCUCAUUUGGCAAGGAAUAAUGAAAUCCAUCAAGAACCCCAAAUGAUCUGUGAUGUCUUGGGUCUUCCAAAGUCAUCUGACAUUCCAGUCUUGUUAAGCAAUGCAGAAGGAAAGGUUAAGGAUGUUUUAUCAAAAAUCCCAAAUAGAUGUGUGGGUAAAACUCUGCUCAAAACUCCUCUGACUCCAGAUCAAACGGAAAGGCUGGAAAAGAUCAAUGAAGCCUUUUGCAGUGAAUAUGAAUGUCGCCGACGUAUGUUAAUGAAAUGCUUAGAUGUAACUAUUCAGUCUUUUGGGUGAUAUGAUUAAGCAAAGGUGAAAACAGAUGAUAUUGCAAGGAUUUAGCAACCCAAGUGUUAUGGACUGGCUCCUAAAGCAACUAUUUCAUUAGCCCAUCUUCUGGCUGCCCGAGAAGACUUAUCGAAGAUCACAAGAACAAGCAGUGAGAUUACACAAGAGAAGACCGUUUG